AACAAACGCUGGCGGCGUGCCUAACACAUGCAAGUCGUACGAGAAAGUCGGCUUCGGCCGAUGAGUACAGUGGCGCACGGGUGAGUAGCGCGUGGGUAAUCUGCCCCCGGUCAGGAAUAACCCGCCGAAAGGCGGGCUAAUACCCGAUAACACUGACGCUCCGCGGAGCGUCUUUCAAAGAAGGCCUCUGUUUACAAGCUUUCGCCGGAGGAUGAGCCCGCGUACCAUUAGCUAGUUGGCAGGGUAAUGGCCUACCAAGGCUACGAUGGUUAGCUGGUCUGAGAGGAUGGCCAGCCACACUGGAACUGAGACACGGUCCAGACUCCUACGGGAGGCAGCAGUGAGGAAUCUUGCGCAAUGGGGGAAACCCUGACGCAGCAACGCCGCGUGAGUGAGGAAGGCCUUCGGGUCGUAAAGCUCUGUCAGAUGGGAAGAAAUGGAUGGGGGCUAAUAUCGCCCAUCCUUGACGGUACCAUCAGAGGAAGCACCGGCUAACUCCGUG
rnacentral:rRNA from 1 species